rnacentral:rRNA from 1 species
UACGGAGGGUGCAAGCGUUAUCCGGAUUCACUGGGUUUAAAGGGUGCGUAGGUGGGAAUGUAAGUCAGUGGUGAAAUCUCCGUGCUUAACACGGAAACUGCCAUUGAUACUAUGUUUCUUGAAUUUUCUGGAGGUUAGCGGAAUAUGUCAUGUAGCGGUGAAAUGCUUAGAUAUGACAUAGAACACCAAUUGCGAAGGCAGCUAACUACAGGGAUAUUGACACUGAGGCACGAAAGCGUGGGGAGCAAACAGG